UAUGGUUCCAAAUUUGGGGUUGCUAUGAAAUUUUAGCUCGCGUUUCAAGCAAGGAUAUGGAAGACAAACCGGAAAUCUGAGAGUGUUCAGUGUGCUGGUGUAUGUUACAAGUGUGGAGAAUCAGAUUACUCAGAGAUGGUACUAGCUGGAGCCAACUACGGAAUUGCAACAACAGGAUCAAUCUGACCCUUGUGGAUCUUCUCUUUCUUUCUGUUAUCCACUGAGGAGUACUCCUGCUUAGGCCGAAUUCACAUUUCAUGUCAGAAGAACAGUACCUUUGUCGUCAGAAGAUGGGAGUCCAAAC